GACAGAGGUGCCAAGCGUUAGGCGGAAUCACUGGGCUUAAAGCGUGUGUAGGCGGACUUCUAAGUACCUUGUGAAAUCCCACGGCUUACCCGUGGAACGGCUGGGUAUACUGGUUGUCUUGAGCCACUUAGGGGCUACCGGAACAAAUGGUGGAGCGGUGAAAUGCGUAGAUAUCAUUUGGAACGCCAAUGGUGAAAACAGGUAGCUGGGAGUGUGCUGACGCUGAGACACGAAAGCCAGGGGAGCGAACGGG
rnacentral:rRNA from 1 species